rnacentral:rRNA from 1 species
UACAGAGGAGCCAAGCGUUGUCCGGAUUGACUGGGCGUAAAGCGCACGCAGGCGGACGCGCGCGUGGGGUGUGAAAUCUGGCCGCUUAACGGCCAGGCGCCAUCCCAUACGGCGUGUCUGGAGUGUGCAGAGGUCGAUGGAAUUGCCGGUGUAGUGGUGAAAUGCGUAGAUAUCGUGAGGAACACCAGAGGCGAAGGCGGCUACCUGGACGAAUUGCUGACGCUCAGGCACGAAAGCGUGGGGAGCAAAAGG